rnacentral:rRNA from 1 species
UAGUCCACGCCGUAAACGAUGAGUGCUAGAUGGCGGGAAAUUAGUUUCUCGGCUUCGUAGCUAACGCAUUAAGCACUCCGCCUGGGGACUACGAUCGCAAGAUUAAAACUCAAAGGAAUUGACGGGGGCUCGCACAAGUGGUGGAGCAUGCGGUUUAAUUCGAUGCUACGCGAAAAACCUUACCAACCCUUGACAUGGUGGUCGCGGAGACCAGAGAUGGACUCCUUCGGUUCGGCCGGACCACACACAGGUGUUGCAUGGCUGUCGUCAGCUCGUGUCGUGAGAUGUUGGGUUAAGUCCCGCAACGAGCGAAACCCUCAUCCUUAUUUGCCAGCGAUUCGGUCGGGAACUAUAAGGAAACUGCCGGUGAUAAGCCGGAGGAAGGUGGGACGAUGUCAAGUCAUCAUGGCCCUUACGGGUUGGGCUACACGCGUGCUACAAUGGUGCUUACAGAGGGAUGCAAUACGGCGACGUGGAGCAAAUCCUUAAAAAAGCAUCUCAGUUCGGAUUGCU